CUUUUUAGAGAAAAUAGCACCUACAAACGACUUAUUCACAACUUUGAACAAGUGAACAAAUGUUAAAAGCAUACCACUUCAAACUAAUCCACGAAAACA